GUGGGGAAUAUUGGACAAUGGGCGCAAGCCUGAUCCAGCCAUGCCGCGUGUGUGAAGAAGGCCUUCGGGUUGUAAAGCACUUUCAGCGAGGAGGAAGGGUGGUGUGUUAAUAGCACAUCAUCUUGACGUUACUCGCAGAAGAAGCACCGGCUAACUCUGUGCCAGCAGCCGCGGUAAUACAGAGGGUGCAAGCGUUAAUCGGAAUUACUGGGCGUAAAGCGCACGUAGGCGGUUUUUUAAGUCAGAUGUGAAAGCCCCGGGCUCAACCUGGGAAUUGCAUUUGAAACUGGGAAACUAGAGUGUGUGAGAGGGGGGUAGAAUUCCAAGUGUAGCGGUGAAAUGCGUAGAGAUUUGGAGGAAUACCAGUGGCGAAGGCGGCCCCCUGGCACAACACUGACGCUCAGGUGCGAAAGCGUGGGGAGCAAACAGGAUUAGAAACCCCGGUAGUCC
rnacentral:rRNA from 1 species